AACCUAUGGUAAGGACACUGUCUUUGCAAUUCUUUGAACCUCUCCCAAACUUCAUACAAUGUCUUAUCAUCUCUCUAGUAAAAAGUAUUUAUCUCAUUUCUCGGUU